AAUCACUUUCCAGGUGGACAGUAAUCCAUGAGGAUCCCAGCGGUCUGAUUGGUUCUAACAGAAUAUUGGUACCAAAUUUCUCUUUGUUAAACACAAACUAUUAAACUCAUGUUUAAUUGUGAUUGUUGGCUGUAUGCUGUGCUAAC